AGAUAUUGGGGUCAGAAAAGAAACGGUAUGGAGCAGCCAGAGUCGAGUUAUGAAGUCACAAUUCAUGGGUAAGGUGACUAAUGGUUCGGUGAUCUCGUUCUUGCGAUGAGGAACAUCCCAACAACCUUGUGGGGAGAACUAAAAGGAAUACAAACUGUAAGAUUAUUUAUUUUAGUUUUAGCAGAUAGAUAGAACGCUCAGUAAUUUCUCCAAAUUUAACAUACAUGCGGCUAUUUCUACUAUUGGUAUUAUACUCAGGGAGAUAUCGGUCACCAGAGACUAAUGAAUAGCAAAAUUCGAAAGUCAUCAUUAUUGUAGCGAUAGAUAUUUGAACAAAAUAUAAUUUUUAUUUUCAGUAUUUAUUAUUAAAUGACUGAGGAUUGUCUACUGGUCUCAGGGGACUGAUAUCGUAUUGUGAAGCGGUCAACAUGUUGAUAUUUUGUGAUAAGAUACAAAUUUCAGUUUUAGUUUAUGGCACUCCAGGGCGUUUCAGAAAAAAAUAACCAAAAAACUUUUCUUUUCGAUUUCCCAUAAGAAUAACACAGGAAAAUUUUUUUUUCUUCUGAUUUUUAAGACUGAUGAACGAUAAAUUGCGUUGCAAUAUCCUUUCUAUAUUUUGUAGAGAAUUUAACGCUCUACAAAAAAGGUCUGAUGUCAUUUUCGAUAAAUGAACUCAAUCGAGAGUUUUCUUUAUAAUACUCUCAAAUUAAUAAGUUUACAGUUUUCACAACAAACUGAUAUUUUAUUUCUAAAUUCUCAAAGUUGAAAAAAAUGAUUCCAAUUGAUGCUAAUUUUCAAUAACCAGAAUUUUCAAAAUUGUUAACAGUCAUUGAUAAUUUGUUUUAAGUCUAUCUUCACUAUAUAACAGAUUUAUAACGCUUAACAGUCUUCAGAGGUCUGAUUUAUAUUUUUUUAAAUGUUUUGGUCUCAUUUUUCUAAAAACAUAAUAUUUUGGCGAAUCAUUCAUAAAAAUUGAGGGUAAAUUAAACAUUGCCCUUGAAUAACUUUCAACUGAGUUCAUUUAUUGAAAAAUGACAUCAGACCUUUUUUGUAGAGCGUUUAAUUCCCUACAAAAUAUAGAAAGGAUAUUGCAAUGCAAUUUAUCGUUCAUUUGUUAUGAAAAUCAGAAGAAAAAAAUUUUUUUUCUUGUGUUAUUCUUAUGGGAAAUCAAAAAGUGGGAUGAGGACAACCUAAACAUUAAUAUUAAGGGCUCAUUAUUUCUUGGGCACAUUUUGGCAUUCAAACUAAACUUUCUAAAAAGAAUAAUUUCUUUGUUUUUUUUUAAAAGCCCUAAUAUCACUCAUGUGAAAAAAUUUUUUUCUUAAAAUAGACAUCUUGACCACGUUACAUAACUCGCUCAUUGACCUACAGCAACUUCAUGAAAUAUUGUACAGGGUGGGCAAAAUUCGUAGUUUACUGAGAGGAUCUGGAGAACUAUAAGAGCUAGAAGAAAUUGGAUGAUACAUUUCAGAGCUCUUUUUUAGAAGAACAACGAAUGGUGAAAACGACGAUUUCGAAAAAUUCUCAUAAUUUUUUUGUCUUUGAGGUUGCAGAUCUGAAAUUCGAACCUUAUACAGGCCCUAAUGAAAAAAUAUUUUGAUCUUAUCAGUGGAUUCUACGCAAAAAAGUGCCUGUAGAAGGUUCAAGUUUCUUUUUGAAAUUGUCAAAAAUCUCAUUUUUUGCUAAUAACCCUAAAACGAAGAAUCAUAGAAGGCUACGAUUUUCACCAUUAUUUGUUUCUCUGAGAAAGAGCUCGGAAAUGUGUCAUCGGUUUUCUUCGAGCUCUUAUAGUUUUGGAGAUCCCCUCAAUAGACAAAGAAUCUUUCUACCCUGUACAUAUUCAAAUUAUUGCAGAGAUGGUGUAAAUCUUUUUAAAUUUGAUAGAUUUUCAUGCUAAACAUUUUUGAAGAAAUAUCUUAUUAUCGUCCUGGAAAACACAAAGACGUUGUAGCAAAUGAGCGAUUUAACUCCUUGAGUAUUUUACAAGUAGAUAAUAUUCGAAUUUUAGCUUGUUGUUUUAUAGAAGGAAUAGGACUGUUUGGUUGUUCUGUAAUAGUUCUACGUACGUAAUUGAUAAGAAUUUCUUAUUGUGAAAAUUUUUAUCGUAUUGAUGAAUUUUCAUAAGCAGAAUUUCUUAUCAAUUACGUACGUAGAACUAUUACAGAACAACCAAACAGCCUUAUUCCUUCUAUGAAAUUAUUUUUGAAGAAAUUUGCUCCAUUGAACAUCAAGAGUGUUUCAAAGUAAUGAACUAACUAGAUCUUAUUUAUGGAACCAGGGUCGUAUCAAGCGAGGUGUCGCACAUUAGUGCCCAUUCACAAUGAACGUAAGGCAUAAAGUUGUAAACGCAAUUUAAUUCGUGGAGUAACUUGAACGUAACUUUUCCUUAAGAAAUGUCGAAAUUUCAUGAACUUUCAAAUAUCAUUUCAUGUUUAAAGCAAUAAUAGUCGACUCUUUAUCGAAAUAUUUGAUGUAUUUUAUGAUUUGUAAAAAAGAACAUGCAAAGAAAAAAGACCUUGAUUGCAACUAACGUUAUUGGACAAAAACUCUUGAAAUUCAAAUAAAAAUAAAUUAAGAUAUUUCACGUAUAAAUGUAUAUUUCGAUUAAAAUCGGUAUUCAGAUUGAGAUAAUUUUUGCGAAUUCAAAACUAGAAGUUUGGUAAGGAGAGGAAAUAACUGUUCGGCCUCAAACACCCUAAAAAUACCAGUAGAUUUUGAUACUGCGUUCGAACAACGACUUACGUUCUUUUUGAAUGGGCCAUUUGAGGCUGUGAUUGAACCAUAGGAAUCAUAAUAUAUACAGGGUGAGUCUUUGACUCGUACAAAAAUUUUUACAGUAGAUUAUUGAGGUCAAAAGAAACACUUUUUUCCUAUAUCAUUUUUUCUGUGGUCCCCCAAGGAGAAACAAAAUUACCUUGAUAAUAACCAGCUAAAUCUAUGAUACUAAACAGCCAAAAUACCCAAAUUUUAAAAUUUCACAGAUAUUUUUUAAUUAAAAUAUUUGUACGAGUCAAAGACUCCCCCUGUAGAUUAGAAUCGGCUUAUUUUUUAUGAGAUCGACUCAAAAAUCUCUCGCGAUCGACAGUUUGAACACCGCCGCAUUAGGCGUCGGUAGCGUCCAUACAGCUCGCUUGAUCCAGCCAAAGAUUAACAAGAUGCACUCUAUUAUGUUGAUGGAGCUAGUUUCUUUUACUUUGAGCGUUCUGAAAUCUGAAACCUCAAAAUGUAACCAGUUGAUUGACGUAUUAGUUAUACAGGGUGAUUCACGAGCGGUAGGCCAUAGCCAAAUGGUAAAUGCAGGUCAUCUGGGCCUUUCAGAACAGUUUCCUCUUUCAUUCUAUCGUACCUUAAGGCCGUUAGUUUCAUAGAUACUGAUGAUUUGUGGAUUUCGGCUUAAAUUUUUGAUUUCCAUAGCUUGAGAAUGAGUGUUGUGAUUUUGAUGAAAUUUUGUGGGCACAUGCAUUUCCGAGAAUAUCAGAACAGUGCACAGAAUAUUGGGAUUUAUCGUUAAAAUAUCAAAAUCUCUAUUUUCUGCAUCAGUUGGAAAUUCUUUAAUUUCAGAAUUAAAAAAAAUAUCUAUUUUUCUUAAUCAAAUUCAAUCUUCACUUUGCAAAUCACACUUUUUCAGUGGAGUAACAAACAUAAGAAAUCAUAUUUCAUCUCAAUUCUCAAGAUUAAGGUCCUGUUUUCAAUUAUUUCAAUAUCAAAGCACUCUUUUCAAUCAUUUUUUUUUGCAUCCUUAUCAACACACCAAGUAUUCAAGCACGCCACGUAAAAAAUUUAUUUGAAAAAUAUAUUAUUGGACUGUAAAUUCUUUUGGACAUCAUCAAUCUUAGGCAGAAUGACAGAGAAAUAUCCUUUCGAAUUCAAUUCACAUAAUAAAAAUUGAAAGUGCAAAAUAACAAUAUUUUCUGAUUAAUAUCAAUUUCUUACUUCUUCAUAUUGUAAAAAAAAACACAUUCACGGAAUCAUAAAUACUCAUCCUUCAUUCUGCUUAGGAUUUGAUAAUUCCGAAUCGGAAGGAAUUCCCAAUUUUCAAUAAUACGAAUUUCAUCAAAGAAAAGAAACCACUCAUUUUCAAGUUAUGGAUAUCGAAAAGUCAGGCCGAAAAGACCAACUACUUUGAAAGGUCUAGAUGACCUGCAUUGACCACUAGUCUAGGGCCAACCACCUUACAUUAUACAAGGUGUUCCCUUAACAUGAGGAAUAAAUUCAGGGUAUUAUUCUCAGAGUGAUUUGGGGACAGAAAGGUCCUGCAGGUCUUUAUUUCCAAAAUACAGGGCGUUAAAUCUUCACAAAUAAAUAAUGAAUUGCUCGAUAAUUUCUUAAGAAGGGAAACCUCAUUCAGGUUAAAUAUCUCAUCAUCAGCAAUUUAGUAGCGUGUGUACUGGCAUGAACUGUCAUAUUUUCAAAAGAAAAAAUAGUACGCCAGUGAUUUUUUCCAAAGUAAAAUUCAUUCUUGGAAUUCAUAUUUAAUUCAGAAUAUAAAAGGUCUCUGUGUACUUUUCUCUAGGUUGUGCUAUGUGUGGAAAAAAUUUGAAAACGUUUGUCACUCAAAAAAAAACUCGAGUAGAGCAAUCGAAUAAUGAAUUUUAUUGUAUCAAAAAGCUUCUCAAAUUACAAGAAUUGUUGAAAUUUGUCUUUUCGAAAAUAUCGAUGGAUAUUUGUUAUUUAUUUGGGAAACAUGUAACGCCCUGUAUCUUAGAAACAAAGCAUUUCCGGACAUACGCUCACAGGACUUUUCCUACUCCAAAUCCGUAGAUAGAGGAAGGGGAAGAUAACGUAAACAACAAGAAAAAGUGUGUCCAACAUCUCCAUGUUUAUGUUUAUAUUUACUGUGCGUCUACUCCAUCUUUGUUUAUGUUUACCACAAUAUUCGAAUGUUCAUUAUCGUGUUUGUGAAUUUGUGUUUGGUGCAUAGACUUGAUGUUUUAAGUCUAUGGUUUGGUGUAAUAGUGCUUCGUUCGGUUUGUGUAUCGGGAAUAUCGUUGUCGACAUGCCUGGAAAUUGUGUAAUUUGUGGUAAACAAAAACAUGUUGAUGUUGGUCACAGAAAGAUCUCCUUCGUAGCUGCGCAAUGCGGUAUCUUCUCUUCCCUCUAUCUAUGUCCAAAUCUCUCGAAGUAUACCCAGAGUUUAUUUUUCAUGUUUAGGAAACACCAUGUAUAUUACACACGAGGACUGUUGGUUAGAAUAUUUCAAAGAAACACUCGAGAUAAACACUUGAAAUUUUAUAGUUGAGCUUUAAAUUCGUUCUCUUUCCCGUUUCACCGGAAAUUGUAUCUACUUUCGUUUGUU